CCUGUGUUGGAAUGUGUAUUAUCCCUGUACUCUACUCUGACUCCAUAGAUCAAACAAGGGCUCCUCCAUAGAGCUACAAGGGCCACAGAGGGGCAGAAGUGCAAUAGCCUUUCCUCUGGACUGUAAAGUAAUGCUAGAGGAGUGUAAGAUGGCAUCAGAGUGAUUAGUUGUCAUCUAACUCCCUUCAAGGAAACAAAGAAUUUGAAGACUGGCCACUAACUACAUCGGUGUGGUGGGUUGACCUUGGCUGGCUGCCAAACAGCCACUCAGGUGCUCUCUUGUUCUUCAGUAGGACAGGUAGAAAAAUAACACAAAGAACCUUGUGAGUUGAGGCACUACAUUCCUCUGAAGGUCACAAACUGUCAUGGUUUAACCCCAACCAGCAAUUAAGACCCAGGAAGCCACUCGACCACUACCCCUGCCUCCAGCUGAACGGGAGAGAGAAUCAGAAGACUAAAAGUCAAAACAACAUGUUGCUGUAAAUACUGAUUUGAUUAAGUAUCCUUCAUGAAGCAGCAUGUUCCAGCAAUCGGGUUUGCUCCUACCCUCAUCUUUUGGUCAUUAGCUCAGG